CACCUCAUUAAAUACUAUUAAUUUCUGUGUGGAUUAAAUGAGUUAAUCUCAUGUAAUGUGUCUCAGAACAGCACCUGGCACAUAGUAAGUGCCAAAUGUGUUAUUAAUCUAGCAUAUGUUAUGAAUAUUUUCUCCUGCCUAUUGUUUGUCUUUUGGCAUUAUUUAUGGUACUGUUUUCCAUACAGACUUUGAAAUGUUUUUAUGCAGUAAAAUAUAUCUAGUCUUCCCUAUUUAUAGCUUUUGUAUUUCAAAAUGUGUCAUUUGAAGGCUACUUAUUUUCUUUUAUGUCAUCCAUGUCACAUAUAUGUUUUCCUAAUUUAUCCUUUCUUUCAAUUCGAGAGUGGAGUUUUUGAUAACUGUUCUGCUGAAGUCAAAGUUGUCAUUCUUUAAUUUUCAAAUUAUCUGCAUUGGUUUUGCUUAGAAAAGCCUUUCCUGUCUAUUUACGGUUUAUUUAUAGAGAAUUGAUACAGUAGAGAGAUAAUUUUUCUCUAAAUUGUUUGCUAGCUAUCCCAACACCAUUUAUUUUUCUAUGCUCUAAUUAAAGAGAUCCGUUGAGGAUUGACACAUCCCACAUUGGAGUUUGAUUUGAAUGAAACCACACCCCCUUCUUUUGUUAUAGAGCCAGUAAAGAAAAAGAGGUCUAUGUGCAAGUCAACUCUUUUUUUUUUUUUUAAGAUUUCAUUUUUUCAUUUAUUCAUGAGAGACACAGAGAGGCAAAGAUAUAGUCAGAGGGAGAAGCAGGCUCCCCACAGGGAGCCUGAUGUGGGACUCAAUCCUAGGAUCCUGGGAUCAUGACCUGAGCCAAAGGCAGAUGCUCAACCACUGAGCUACCUAGGUGCCCUACAGCCAACUCUUAAUUCCCAUCAUAUAUAUAUAUGCAGUUUAAGAGAUCAAAUAAAAAAAACAGACUGAAAAAAAAACCACCCAAAAACUAUCAGCCUGGGCUCCUCACACUACUUUUCACUGAGUUCUGCUCAGAAAUAUCAGCUAACCUUAACUUUAUGUAAGUCAGCUUGGAAGAACAAUUUUUUUAAAGGUAUAAAUGUUUUACAAAGCUAACUACAAGUGACUUGAAAUUUCUACUAUCUAGUUAUCUAUGCAUUAGGGUCUUUAAUGAUUAGAAGUAAAAAAAACCUGAAGAGUAGAUUUGAAAAAAAAAUGAAAUCCACAUGUUAUUUCUCUGAAUCAGGUACUCCAAUAUGAUUUUAUAGAAUAAGAAUCAGAAGACAAAAGGAAUUAAAGGAAGUUUGGUAGAGGUGAGUUAUCUAGAGUAGACAAAGAUUUUUUGAGUCAGGAAUUUAGAAUUAGUCAAUUAACAACUCACAAAACUUUUUCUUUUCUUUUCUUUUUUUUUUUUUUUAAAAAAAACAAACAUUUUUCUUAUCCUGGAGGGCUUAAACCUGAGCAUUCUAUGAAUGAGGAGCUUAAAGAAUCUCAGAUGCCAUCAUGUUUUUUUUUUUUUAAUCCAAAAAAUCUUGUAAACAGAAUUAUGGACCUUGUACUUUAAUACCUAGUUCUUAAAAAGAUAAUUAUGGCACAGUGAUGGGCUAUGCCAAUGUGCCUCAGAUUAUCUGGUAAAGAACCUAGUUUUUUCCCAGUCUGCAUUUUUGAAAAUAUGAUAAAAAUGAAUUACUAGAAAAAUGAAAUGAAAAUGAAAACAAAUACAUAUAAAAAUAGAAGCCAAUUUUUUUAUUAUUAGGCUUAACAGCUAUAAAAUUACUAUGUCAAAUUGCCAUAAAUGUUUCUAAAGCUAACUUUAAUUUCUGUGCUUACUUCACUGCAGACUGGUAACAAAUUAGUAGAUUUGUAUGGGUCCAUGUAUCACUGUCCUAUUCCCAUUUCUGGCCCCUAAACUAAUACAUUUUUUAAAACCAAAGGUUCCUACAUCAGAGAAGGGUGAAAAGAGGAUCAAUAUACAACAUUGAACUGUUGUGUAUGAAACUGCAGCAAACGUUAGGACCUCUUCAUUUCUCUUAUCUGGUUAAAGUUCCCAAAACAUGUCCUUUGGCCUAAUAUUUAGCUUUAAACUGAUAAGUCAUAAUACAUUACAGAAUCUCUGAUUCUGUAAGUAAUGUUCAAAUACUAAAAGUGCUGGUUGUAUAGUACAUUUGCUUUCCAAAUAUAAUUUAUUCAGUGUUUAUUUUCCAUACUUAAGGAUUUUUUUUAGAUCAAUGCCUAUGAAUUAGUGCCACAUGGAAGGAUGCUCCCCAAAACACAGAGCUUCACAUUCUGGUUUUACUCCAAAUAAGGAUUCUCCAGAAUCCAUGAUCCCUACACUGGAAACUCUUGGCUUUUCUUUCAGGCACUGGCUCUGC
rnacentral:lncRNA from 1 species